CUGGACAGUGCACACAGUGGGAUUGGGGAGGGCGGGGCCUGCAGCUCGAGCCCUGGACCCACUUGGGGUCUCAAGGAAAAAGAGCUGAGACCCUCCACACCACCCUGCACUGGCCUGAGAUGCUUGCAGACCUGACGGGAAGGAAAAGAAAGAAGCUUCCGGGGAAAACCGAGACACAGCUCAUCUUCGAGGCCUUGCAGAGAUGAAGAUUUUAAAGAACAAGGCAUAAAAAGAACUGUUUGUAGCAGAAAAACGCCGGGAAUAUCGGACCUCAUCAGACUUAAGGAUUUUUUAUCAUUCAACGGCACCACGAAGAGUUACUUAGAAAGGAAGCUGUGGGUUUGGGAAAGGUUAUUGCGGGGCGUGUUGUGACGUGUGUCCGUCCAGAAAUCGUGGAGAACUCUAACCCCAGAGAAAGGCAGGAAUGAUCCCGGGAAACGGGAGCCGAGUCCACAGGCUCUUCCUGGGAGCGGCUGCGGCGGCCGCACACCGUGAGUCACCGGAAACGCAGAAUGAAAGCACAACGGGUGCCGCCAGCGCCUCCCCCAGGCAGCUAAACCAGAAAGGCCCGCCGCCACCCCCACGAGGGUGCAGAGCCCCCGAGCCGGCUCUCUGUCGCUGUGCGCUGGGACACUCACUCUGAAAAACAGCAUUGGGGGGUGCCUGCUGGUGCUAAGCUAUGUAUAUCCCAUGACCUGAAUUCUGCCUGGGAAACCACCCAAGAAAACUGAGUCCCUGUAUCUACUACAGAAAGGGAAGUGAAUGUUCUCUUCUGUAUUUUUCCUAAAAGCCAACAUUUGGAAGUGACCAGAAUGCUCAGUGUUAGAAUGAAUGCUUUGGCCGUACCCGCCUGGGGAAUGUCGUGCAGUAAUGGAACAGGGGCUGCCAGGGGGAUGGGCUCCACCCCCAGGAGAGACUGCGGCAUAGGACCUGUUCAUGUGACACACCAGGCCACGUGGGCAGGCCCAGGCUGACGCUUCUGCCUGUGGGCCAGGUGGCUGCCAGGGAGUGUGAAGCCCCAGCAACCUGCACCCAAGAUGCGGCUCCUGAGUCCAGCCCGACAGCCACAGCUGGGGGGAGACCCUCCCCAAAUCAGGAACAAACCCACUCCUCCAAAUGGGCUCCUGGAUGAGGACGGGUGCCCAGAAGGUGGAGGAGAAGCAGCGUAAGGCAGAGAGGCUCAGCAGCCCUGCCACGCCGCCCUGGCCACCGGGGCCACCUUGCUGUCCGUGGGGAGGGGCGAGGUCAGCAGUGGGAAACCCCGUCUCUGCAGCCCACACCUGGGUGGAGACAACGUCACGCUGCCAUGGAUUCUGCACCAAGGGGAGCGCGGCCCACCUCGAGCCACAGAACAUUCUUGGAUGGAAGUUUUGCGGGUGCCCUAAAUUUAAACAGCUAAAUCGGAUUAUUUUUCAAGCAGCAGCAUUUUUAACCUUCAUAAGUGAUUGAGCUCUUAAUAGGGCUCAACCGUGAGGCUGGAAUCUGACGUGGGCCUUGUCCCCGAGAGCCUUUGUCUUCCCUGUGCACGGAGCAGGGAGCAGGGAGCAGAGUGAAGCCUCAGCUGCCCCAACAUGGACGGUCACCUGAGCACUCACUGCUCCAGAGGCAGGGCCUGAGCCUGGAGGGACCAGGCCACACGUGGCGUGAACUGGCAAGAGGCAGGUGGUGUGACUGGAUCUGCCAUGGACCACCCUAGCUGCAAGGGAGCCUGUGAUCUGUGGCCACCCCUGUGGACCUGUGGCCACCCCGGUGGACCUGUGGAUGCCCCGUGGACCAGUGGCUGCCCCCGUGGACCUGUGGCCACUGGCCAAUGGAUUCCUGAUUGACCAGAGUCUUCCUGGCCGUGUGGCCUGGACAGUUGCCCUUCCCUUCAUCUCAGGCCCCAGAGUCUCCAAGUGACAUGCGAAGGUGGUGGAAAAUUAUUUUGGACAAGGUUUUCACCAAGGUCAGUAUCAUUUAUUUUAUUCCUUAUAAAUUAGUCCUCUCAGCUGAAAACCUUUUCCAAGGACAUGCUGGACAGACGGAGACCGACGGUGUUCUCAACCUGCACACCGUCCGCCCCCUGCAGGCUUCCCUCCCAUCCUCUGUUCCUGAGUCCCGGGCUCUGGCCCAGGCUCUGGGUCUGGUGUGGACGACGAGCUUGUGGACACAGUGGGUUCUCACAACGCAGCUUCUCUGUGGGGGCCGCUCCCACCACCUGGGGUUCUGGGCCUCUGGCUCCCAGUCCCCGGCUCCCUGGCUUCAUCUGUCCCUCUGAGAUCCUGUUUGUGAGGCCAUGCCCAGGUCAGCUCUGAGUGAGUCUGCUGGUGCUUGUCAGCGCAGGUCUGAGGGGCCAGAGCUCACGAGGCAGCCUGCAGCCUCAGGCCUGUGCCCUGGGGGCCAGCAUCCAUUCUGUUUCUGGAAGCUCCCAGAACCCUUACGUCUAGUAAAGAGCCUCUGUGUGUGGCUUUGGCCUGAGCAGUCGGGGAGGCCAAAGAGCCUGCUCAUGGCUCCAUGUGGAGACCACAGCCCCUCUCAGCUCCAACAGGUCCUGUGUGGCCAGCUCACUUCCCAAGCAGACCGUCUCCUCACUACUGUUCCCAGGGACCUCUCACCCCACUCUCCAGAACCCCACAGGCUCCCCUCCCUCUGAGAGGGCCUGGAUCUGCCCACACGGGGCCAGGCUUGCUGGACCCUGGGGGCAUCUGCCCAGUGUGGAGGAUGCCAUUCUUGGUCCCGUCUCUCCUUUAGUCUCCUGGCUGAAUUACACAGGCUGGAUGCUGCCCUCAGCCCCUCAGGAAACCACACAGUGGCAGCUCUCAGCUCCACAUUCCUGCGAGGUUCUCUUGUCUCCUCAGUGAGGCCUUCCAGGAGCAGCAGUUCCUCUCCAGGGGGUCUCCCUGCACAAAGAGCAGUUUCCAUGAGAAUCACAUGGAGACGCACAGCAGUGCCAUCCCCAGAUGCUAGCGCAGGAGACCACAGCCUGUCCUGGGGGCGCCUUAGAAACCAGGGAGGCCCUGGUCCGGCAGGAUGACUCAUGCCUGUAGUCCCAGCACUUUGGGAGGCCAAAGUGGGUGCAUCACCUGAGGUCAGGAGCUUGAGACCAGCCUGGCCAACACAGUGAAACACCAUCUCUAUUAAAAAUACAAAACAUUAGCAGAAGAACUGCUUGAACCCAGGGGGUGGAUGUUGCAGUGAGCCAAGAUCACACAAUUGCAUCCCAUCCUGGAGGACAGAGAGACUCUGUCUCAAAACAAAAAAAUGAAACCAGGGGGACCCAGAGAAUCACAGCAAGGGCCCAGGGCAGAGGGGAGAUUUCCUGCUUCUCCCCUGCCCUGCUUGCCCCCUGCCCAACCCUGGGAGGCUUCCUGAGGAAGCUGUACCCGCUGUACACAGAGCAGUCAGGUGUGAAGGGGCUUCCAGCAUUGAGUCAUGUGGCUGCUGCUUGGGAACAAGAGUUCACGGUCAUCUUCUCUGUGGACUCGCCCAGGUGCACAAAACCAGGUGAGCAGCAGAAACCUUUCUCCCCACAGAUGCCCAGUGUGGCCUCUCUGCGGCGUCAGGAACGAAUCAGACUCUUGCAUCAUUAAUGUGGCGUGGGGUGUGUGGCUGCGGGAAGCUUCCACCUGUGACCCCAUCUGCUCCCCUGUGCUCGGGCAGAUGUCCCUGAGGCUGGAUGUCUGAGCCAGGGCACCUGGCACCAGCUGCGCUAACUGCCUUCCCUGACUCCUCCUGCCUUGUAAGGCCCUGGGGGUCAUGGCUGGGCCCAGGUCUGCUCAUGGGUCAUGAGGUCAUGGCUGAGUCCUGUGUGGGGUUAUGGGGUCAGGACGGGCUAGGCCCCAGGCCCAGGGUGACAUCUCUCUCCUCUCUGACACAACAUGCUUCAAACAGUUAGAAGAAGGCAGCCACCUUCUGAGAAGAUCUCCCACCUUCUGAUACCUCGUUUCUUGGGGUCUCGGACGGUGGGAAGGGCUUUCAACCAUGCAGGUUCCUGGGGCCCUUCCUUGGCAACUAUCUCUGCAAGCCUGGGGUGGGGCCUAGAAUGUGUCCUGCAAAUGGGCCCCCAGGUGGCUCCAGGCAGGGGAUUGGCCUGGCUCGUUAGGUGCUGGGCUGGGGUUCGAAGCAGAGUCAGGGGCCGGAACCCUCCACCAUUAGGGCUGACGGUGUGCCUGGCUCUGCCCACCACAUCUCAGGAGAGGAAAGGGCCCCACACUGCUGGGGGCUUCCCACCUGAGUGGGGAGGAGCCAGGUGCUGGUGAGGCCCCCAAGGCAGCCAGAAUGGCAGGCCCGGGGCACUGGCCUCGGAUGCUCCAGAGGGAGCUGUGUGAAGAUCACGAGUCCUGCAGGAUGUGGGGCCCCUGCAAGCUGCCUCGCCCACUGGAGCCUGACUGUAAAUGUACAGCCUCAGGCUGGCCCAGAGAGAACCCCGCCUCCCCUCUGACAACCGCAAGGCACUCCACCAGCAGCUGGGCCUGCCUGCUCCAGCAGCCUGGUGUCCUUACCCCACAGUGCUGACCUUGCUGGCACUGGGGGCCCAGGAGGCCUCCCAGGUUCCCUCUGCCUCCAGGAGCUUCCACAGUGCCUGUGGCCCUGAGCUCUGUGGCUCCUCAGAGAAGGCAGCUGACCUUGGCUGAGGAGCCAGCCCUCUGGGUGCCUGCACUGUCCUGAUGUGGGGUCCCGGGCACAGGUGUCUGGAUUCCUGCACUGAUGUGGGGUCCCGGGUGACAGUGUCUGGAUUCCUGCACUGAUGUGGGGUCCCGGGUGACAGUGUCUGGAUUCCUGCACUGAUGUGGGGUCCUGGGUGACAGUGUCUGGAUUUCUGCAAUGAUGUGGGGUCCUGGGCGCUGGUGUCUGUAUUCCUGCACUGAUGUGGGGUUCCGGGUGCUGGUGCCUGCAUUCCUGCACUUCCCCUGGGGCCGGGUUCUGCAGCUCUGCAGCUCUGUUCUGGCGCACAGAACACUAAGCCCCUUGCACAUUGGUUGGUCUCACAGGGGUGGCCUUGCAUCUGUGUUGACAGGCAUCGGGCACCGGGUGGGUCCUGCUGAGAGGUUGGCACUGAACUCAGCCAUAACCGAAGGUUGCUGGCCAUGCUGAGUCCAGUGCCGGGGUCAGAAUGAGUUAUCUCUUCAUUUAAAUGCAGAUUUCACUUGGAAUCAAAUCAUUCUCCCUUAAGAAACUGCCAGCCUGGGAGUGCAUGCUAAAUUAUAGCAAGAUUUUUCCACGUUACUUGAAAAUCACUGUCUCCAGCAUGGAUUUCAGAGGAAAGCCGACAGGGCCCUGCACAGCCCUGAAGUGGGCUUCCCAGGUCGGAGCAUCGACUCCUGCAGGCAACACAGGCCCAGCGGCCCCCUCAGGAGGCCUCCUGGUCGGGGGGUUCCGAUUGCAGUGCUGCAGCCUGGGCUUUGUGCCCCGGGGUGGCGUGUUCAGUCCCAGGAAGGUCACCAAGGUGGCCCCAGCCACUGCCUGAGCCCUGUGCGCCAGGUGCUUCAGCUGUGCGGAGAGCAGGGGGCCGCCCAUGGGGGCAGCCAGGGCCCCAAGUCAGAGUUCAGGGAGACACCAGGCCCCGGUGGGAUUCUGGCCCCAGCUGAGAUGGGCAGGGGCUGUGCUGGCUCUCACCACCCCUCACCCCUGCAUGAUGCUAGGCACAGGAGUCCACCGGCCUCCUGCACCAGCAGUGGCAGGAGGGACCAGCACCCGGGACCCCACAUAAGUGCAGGAAUCCAGACACCAGUGCCCAGGACCCCACAUCAGGCCAGGAAACCAGUCAACAGCGCCCGGGACCCACAUCAGUGCAGGAAUCCAAGGGUGUGAAACUCAUGGACUGACCGGGUCAGGGAGCCCUCCCCGCAUCAGGGCACACGUGAUGCUUCUGUCUCCCACCUGGCACCAGCUGGGGGACCCUGUGCCACUGUCCUGCAUGGGCCGUGUGGUGAGGGGGACAGAGCUUCACAGCGGGUCCCCCUGCACUCCCACCUGCUUCCUGGAAUGAGCCCAGGGGUCCUCCCAAGCCCCCUCCUCCCACCCUGCUGGGAGUCCCUGGGGACUCAUCACAGCAGGAGGCUGGCCUGAGUUAGCACCCGGGCCCAGGAGAUCAGACAUACCUUCCACACGGCCAUCGGCACCCACCUUUUCUGAUACAGUCAAUGGUUUGGACCCAGGCAUGGGGGGUGAAGGGAGGGUACGUGGGGUUGAAAGUGCAGGGUCCUGAAUGGAGCUGACGGCAGUGGUUGGGGUGGGUGACUUCACAACAGCACAUGUGUGCAGAGGGCAGGGCGGGCGGGUAACUUUAGGAUGACACAUGUGUGCACAGCAGAGCUGUCUAAAUGAGCAUCCGCUCCGCCCCUCCCAGGAAGGGGCAUUCCUGGCCCAGAGGGAAUCUGCAGACUCUGCAUCUGCCUGGGGAGGAGGACAGGCAGGAUCUCAGGCUGGGUGAGACCCGGGAGACAGGAGAGUGCUUCUCUUUCCUGCUGUGGUCUCGUGUGAGUGCAGCCCCCCGGUUUCAGGAGAUGGGCCUCCGUGGGAGGUGACGAGGGCCUGGGGACCUGGCUCCGUGUCUGCUGCUCCCUGCCUGGGUGGGGUGGGGGAUCAGGGCUGUGGAAAGCCCCCGUCUGUGGAGGGAGCUCCAGGGUGGAGCCGUCUGUCCCAGGCGUGGCCCCGUCUCCUUCCUGCGUGACCCCCACCCUGUGGAUGCCCUGUGCUCCUCUGCACCCUGCUGUCCCCUCUCUGCUCACACAUUUGGCACCGGGGGUCCUGCCCUCUCUCACCCCAUGCCCUGCGCCCAGGAGCAGCCUGCUGAGGCAGGUGGGAAGACCUUGGGGGCAGCGGCGUCCUCCUCUCCUCUGCCUGCCGUUCCAGGAAGGCCGCUUGGGGAGGGGCCUGUGUCUUGUCCCUCAGAACCGCGGGAAAAGCAUCAGUGAAUGAUGAGAAAGGACAAACCCACAUCUUCAGGAGUAUUUAAGCCUCUGCGAGGAUGGGAAUGCCAACGGCAGAGCAUUUGUGUUUUCAGGGCGCAGGGAGGCUCCACGUCCCUCGUGGGGUCGGGGGGUGAGGCCCAAGCCCGCGACUGCCUCCUGCCACCUCCACCCUCUGGGCCCCGGAGCUGCACCAGCAGGUGGGCCCUGCAGCCCGGAGCUCGGGACCCCAUGAGGCCGGGGCCACUUCUGUGGGGGCACAGGCCAUGGGGUGAGGGUGGGGCUCCCAGCAGCUGCCGAGAGCACUUCAGAUGCCUGCCCUACGAGCCUGGGUCACAGGGGCAGAGGGGGAGCUGAAUCAGGAACCGUCACAGCUGUGCAGCUGGCCUUGGGAACCGAGAGAAGAACGCUCCCGAGCUGGCCCCAGUGAGGUUCCUUCCUCUCCCCUGUCAACACACAAGUGGCCAGUUAAUCAUUUACCAACAUUGGAACCAUCCGAACAGAGCCAGUGGCCGAGUGCAGCGUGGCCUCGAGCAGGCCAGGGAGGGAGCAGGCAGGAACAGGCCCAGGGUCCGGGCUCUGCUGCGGGUUCAAACGCAUUUCAGGGCUGGAGCUGACGCUUCUGUCCUGUGGGCAAAAGGCCUCACCCAGCGACAGAGGCCACACCUGUGAGCUUGGAAGAUGUGGCUGCCCGCAGGUGGUGUGGCAUCACUGACGGCAUCAGUGUCAGAGUCCCUAGAGUCUGUUCACACUGACGGUGACCAUCUGCGGUGAGUUCAGAGGCAAAGCCUGCACAGCUGCACCUGAGAAGCCUGUGACAGAGCAGCUGACCUGGCCGCGAGCAGGCGGGAGCCGGGCCCAGCAUAAAUGCAGCGGUGCUGCCUGCGCUGGGGCUGGUGACACGGAGGGAGAGCUGAUGUGCACGGCCGGCCUCCGCAGGAGAGGAGAUCACCUGGGAUGCAGGAAGCCACGUGCUGGUCGCGUGUCAGAAUAGGAGAGCCUCUCAUGGGGCUCUGGGCCCUGCUGUCCUGGAGCUGGCCAGGCACCCAGACCCCAGCCCUGACAGUGGGCAGUGGGGGCCAGAGGGACGGUGUGCACUGGACGGGCUCUGUCCCCAGGCCUCCAGGUAUGGACGCGUCAGAGCCAGCGGCAGGAAGGCAGCAUCGCAAGGCGGCCUCUCAGACCCUGACUAGAAAGUGUCAAAAUUCAGAACAGACAGAGGCGCAAAGCAACACACGCAGGCCUCAGCAGGUCACACUUCCCUGCGCUCCGUGUGGAGGCUUCCGGAAAGGGGUGCAUCGGGGGGACUCCUUCGGGGUUGCCGGGAGGGAUGCCUAGAGUGCGGACACCUUGAAGGACACGUUGGGGAGAUGCUGAGACUCUUGGGCUCUUGGGUGGUGACUGCUGCCCCCGAGAACGGCCCAGCUCUGCCCGGGGGCCCUGGUCAAACCCUCUGGGAUCAAGCUGUGAAGGAGAAAACCACCUGUGAGCUUCUGACACAUGAAACAGCUGGAUGGCUCUCAAAUGUGUGGCUCCUCAUCCAGCCAGCCCAGCUGUCCAGAUGACUUCCCCGGGACCGACAGGAGCCGAGUUUGCGGAGCUGCCCCUCCCGGCGCCUCUCCCUGAGCUGCCCCACAUCAGCCCCGUGCAGAGCCGCUGCAAUCCCAUUAGCCUGGCCCUUGAGCAGUAAAUCGCGGAAGCUUCCUUCCUUGAUUCGGACUUAAUUUGCUAAAGCAGUUUUCAUCUGAAGACGCUUUCCUCCCACGGAAAAAGCAAACCCAAAAGAGAGAGAGAGCUAAUUUAUCGCUGUGACAUGAAUACGGUUUUGAAGAGUCCCGGGACCCAGCUGGGAGAUGGCACGGGGUGGGCGGAGCAGGAGAGGCUUCCCAGUCCCCGGCUGGGACGCUCCCUGUAGGCCGCCGUGCCGGGGACCUCCAAGCCUGGCAUCCCGUCUUCUCUUCAGUGGCAGGUUUAAUUAGUGCACAUGUAGCCAGCAGUUUGGGAGCAGAUUCAAUGAGGUGCUCCGCCAGUUCUGAAGAGGCUUCACGCUGCCAGAGUACCAGGCAUGGAGUCAGAAUCAGGCAAAGGAGGGUGUGCCUCGUUCAGGGGCCCAGGACCGCCAGGGCGGGGGUGGGCAGAGCAGACACCUCCGUUCCAAGGAUCCAGAGCCCUCCAUCACGGAGCAGGUCAUGGAAGGGAUUGCUGUUAGAAGCAUCUGAACAGCACUGAGAAACACUUGACCCACGCUGGUCCCCAAGGUGGGGUCAUCAGAGUGUGACUUUCACUCCUCAAGAUAAGGCCCAAGCAGGCUGGACAUGCAGGGGACAGCUCCCGGGAGCCAGGAGAGCAGGAACUCCUGUGACUGCGAGGAGAACCAAGGCCAGAGAUGCGCACAGACGCCUGUGCCUGCCUGGCGGAAUCUUCCAGAAGACGGACGCCCACUUAACAGAACAGCGGAUGCCCCACUUGCCCUGCAGCUUUUCCUUCCUUUCGGUUUUUAAGCUGAACGUAUCCCUGCAGAGUGAUCUCAAAUGUCCCGGCAAGAACCAUCGCUUCAGGAAGCAAACACCUGCUGGGUGCCAAGUCCCUUGGGGGGCACAGUGAGGCGGCUUUGGUGUGGAGCCUGUGGGACUUUCUGUCUUGGGGAGCAGAGGAGUCACAUGCACGCCUGCUGUACACACUCACGUGCAGGUGCCAGAGGCACGUACACACAUGCACAUGCUCUCAUACACUCACACAUGCACACACGCAAACGCACACGCUUGGAAUAACCUAACCGGGGGUUAGCCUCACGGACUCCAUCUUAGCUGCGAAGCUGACGAGCUCUCUCGAGCCUCUCCCUCCCUCUGGGGGCAUGACUGGGCCACGCUGACAAUGACGCUGUGAUCACCCACCAUCUAACAGUGCAGCUGCGUCCUGCCUGGCGGGCGCACCUGCUAUUGUGGGUAACUCUCUUUGAACCCUCCUUGGUGAUUGUUUGGAAACAACCUUAGCAACCAACAAUCCUGGGAACCUCCUCCCCGCUGGUUACCAGCUAAGUCGCCUGCUCCACCUCUGUAAAAUUCUGCUUCAGCUAGCUCCCCCUCCCCCACCUAAAUCAAGGUAUAGAAGAUAAUCGAGCCCCUUCCUCCGGCCGAGAACUUCGAGCGUUCGCGUCUCUCGGUCGCCGGCAAUAAAA